CAGGUGAGUUUAUUGCUUGCCUCUAUAUAUAUGAAUUUUAAUACUUAGCAAAAUUAUAUGAAACCUCGAAAGCCGGAUUUUUCUCUUCUAAAUAGUUUACUAUGAGACUGUAAUUUUAGGUUAAAAAAUAUCGAAACUCGACAAAUUUUGCUGAUGUUAGGAAAUUACUGUAGUUGUUUCGUUCAGAAAAGAUUUCUCUUUAAAUAUGCUCUCAAAAUUUUAAUUCCUUUAGUUUAGCCUAACCCAUGCAUCCUAUUCACACGGCGUACACUCUCGCACUCCAUUCAUUUAGCUAUUAAAUUACGUUAUAAACAAAAAAAGCAAAAUAAAAAGAUAAAUUACGUAUAUCACUAGCUGUCCUAUAACCCACUUAAACUGAGUUUUGGAUUCAGGUUCGAAACGUAAAACCUUAACUGAAAGGGCAUGGGCUUUAAGUUUUGUCAAUUGUCCGAAGUAAAUAUAAACCGUAAACUUACCUAAACCAAAGACUCGGUUAAAUAAGCAUGAGAAUGCAUAGAGUUGUUUUUAAUUUUUGAAUGUAAAACUGUCUUAAGUCGAGUUAUUUGUCAUCAAUUGCCGCACUAGGUUAAAAAGAAAGAAGACUUAAUUGUCUUUAGCUAUUGAACUAUAUUGGAAACGGAAAUUACCAUGUUUUUGACGACCGUAUAGUACAGUUUAUCUAUAUAGUGCAUACGCAUCGAAACAAUUAAAUAACGUAUCCGCAAUUCUCAUACUCAUUUAACCGGAACACCUUCAUUUGCAUGGUACGUCGCAGCUGCUCUCGAUUACUCAAACCGCUUAUCAUAUUUAAUCAAAGAGGAUUCAAUAAUAUAAAGUCAAGUUUCAUUAUGA
rnacentral:lncRNA from 1 species